GGGUUGUGAGGUUAAGCGACUAAGCGUACACGGUGGAUGCCCUGGCAGUCAGAGGCGAUGAAGGACGUGCUAAUCUGCGAUAAGCGUCGGUAAGGUGAUAUGAACCGUUAUAACCGGCGAUUUCCGAAUGGGGAAACCCAGUGUGAUUCGUCACACUAUCAUUAACUGAAUCCAUAGGUUAAUGAGGCGAACCGGGGGAACUGAAACAUCUAAGUACCCCGAGGAAAAGAAAUCAACCGAGAUUCCCCCAGUAGCGGCGAGCGAACGGGGAGGAGCCCAGAGUCUGAAUCAGUGUGUGUGUUAGUGGAAGCGUCUGGAAAGGCGCGCGAUACAGGGUGACAGCCCCGUACACAAAAAUGCACAUACUGUGAGCUCGAUGAGUAGGGCGGGACACGUGGUAUCCUGUCUGAAUAUGGGGGGACCAUCCUCCAAGGCUAAAUACUCCUGACUGACCGAUAGUGAACCAGUACCGUGAGGGAAAGGCGAAAAGAACCCCGGCGAGGGGAGUGAAAAAGAACCUGAAACCGUGUACGUACAAGCAGUGGGAGCCUCUUUUAUGGGGUGACUGCGUACCUUUUGUAUAAUGGGUCAGCGACUUAUAUUCUGUAGCAAGGUUAACCGAAUAGGGGAGCCGAAGGGAAACCGAGUCUUAACUGGGCGUUAAGUUGCAGGGUAUAGACCCGAAACCCGGUGAUCUAGCCAUGGGCAGGUUGAAGGUUGGGUAACACUAACUGGAGGACCGAACCGACUAAUGUUGAAAAAUUAGCGGAUGACUUGUGGCUGGGGGUGAAAGGCCAAUCAAACCGGGAGAUAGCUGGUUCUCCCCGAAAGCUAUUUAGGUAGCGCCUCGUGAAUUCAUCUCCGGGGGUAGAGCACUGUUUCGGCAAGGGGGUCAUCCCGACUUACCAACCCGAUGCAAACUGCGAAUACCGGAGAAUGUUAUCACGGGAGACACACGGCGGGUGCUAACGUCCGUCGUGAAGAGGGAAACAACCCAGACCGCCAGCUAAGGUCCCAAAGUCAUGGUUAAGUGGGAAACGAUGUGGGAAGGCCCAGACAGCCAGGAUGUUGGCUUAGAAGCAGCCAUCAUUUAAAGAAAGCGUAAUAGCUCACUGGUCGAGUCGGCCUGCGCGGAAGAUGUAACGGGGCUAAACCAUGCACCGAAGCUGCGGCAGCGACGCUUAUGCGUUGUUGGGUAGGGGAGCGUUCUGUAAGCCUGUGAAGGUGUGCUGUGAGGCAUGCUGGAGGUAUCAGAAGUGCGAAUGCUGACAUAAGUAACGAUAAAGCGGGUGAAAAGCCCGCUCGCCGGAAGACCAAGGGUUCCUGUCCAACGUUAAUCGGGGCAGGGUGAGUCGACCCCUAAGGCGAGGCCGAAAGGCGUAGUCGAUGGGAAACAGGUUAAUAUUCCUGUACUUGGUGUUACUGCGAAGGGGGGACGGAGAAGGCUAUGUUGGCCGGGCGACGGUUGUCCCGGUUUAAGCGUGUAGGCUGGUUUUCCAGGCAAAUCCGGAAAAUCAAGGCUGAGGCGUGAUGACGAGGCACUACGGUGCUGAAGCAACAAAUGCCCUGCUUCCAGGAAAAGCCUCUAAGCAUCAGGUAACAUCAAAUCGUACCCCAAACCGACACAGGUGGUCAGGUAGAGAAUACCAAGGCGCUUGAGAGAACUCGGGUGAAGGAACUAGGCAAAAUGGUGCCGUAACUUCGGGAGAAGGCACGCUGAUAUGUAGGUGAAGUCCCUUGCGGAUGGAGCUGAAAUCAGUCGAAGAUACCAGCUGGCUGCAACUGUUUAUUAAAAACACAGCACUGUGCAAACACGAAAGUGGACGUAUACGGUGUGACGCCUGCCCGGUGCCGGAAGGUUAAUUGAUGGGGUCAGCGCAAGCGAAGCUCUUGAUCGAAGCCCCGGUAAACGGCGGCCGUAACUAUAACGGUCCUAAGGUAGCGAAAUUCCUUGUCGGGUAAGUUCCGACCUGCACGAAUGGCGUAAUGAUGGCCAGGCUGUCUCCACCCGAGACUCAGUGAAAUUGAACUCGCUGUGAAGAUGCAGUGUACCCGCGGCAAGACGGAAAGACCCCGUGAACCUUUACUAUAGCUUGACACUGAACAUUGAGCCUUGAUGUGUAGGAUAGGUGGGAGGCUUAGAAGUGUGGACGCCAGUCUGCAUGGAGCCGACCUUGAAAUACCACCCUUUAAUGUUUGAUGUUCUAACGUUGACCCGUAAUCCGGGUUGCGGACAGUGUCUGGUGGGUAGUUUGACUGGGGCGGUCUCCUCCUAAAGAGUAACGGAGGAGCACGAAGGUUGGCUAAUCCUGGUCGGACAUCAGGAGGUUAGUGCAAUGGCAUAAGCCAGCUUGACUGCGAGCGUGACGGCGCGAGCAGGUGCGAAAGCAGGUCAUAGUGAUCCGGUGGUUCUGAAUGGAAGGGCCAUCGCUCAACGGAUAAAAGGUACUCCGGGGAUAACAGGCUGAUACCGCCCAAGAGUUCAUAUCGACGGCGGUGUUUGGCACCUCGAUGUCGGCUCAUCACAUCCUGGGGCUGAAGUAGGUCCCAAGGGUAUGGCUGUUCGCCAUUUAAAGUGGUACGCGAGCUGGGUUUAGAACGUCGUGAGACAGUUCGGUCCCUAUCUGCCGUGGGCGCUGGAGAACUGAGGGGGGCUGCUCCUAGUACGAGAGGACCGGAGUGGACGCAUCACUGGUGUUCGGGUUGUCAUGCCAAUGGCACUGCCCGGUAGCUAAAUGCGGAAGAGAUAAGUGCUGAAAGCAUCUAAGCACGAAACUUGCCCCGAGAUGAGUUCUCCCUGACUCCUUGAGAGUCCUGAAGGAACGUUGAAGACGACGACGUUGAUAGGCCGGGUGUGUAAGCGCAGCGAUGCGUUGAGCUAACCGGUACUAAUGAACCGUGAGGCUUAACCUUACAACGCCGAAG
rnacentral:rRNA from 1 species